AUUGAACGCUAGCGGGAUGCCUUACACAUGCAAGUCGAACGGCAGCACGGACUUCGGUCUGGUGGCGAGUGGCGUACGGGUGAGUAAAGUAUCGGAACGUGCCCAGUAGCGGGGGAUAACUACGCGAAAGCGUAGCUAAUACCGCAUACGCCCUAAGGGGGAAAGCGGGGGAUCGCAAGACCUCGCACUAUUGGAGCGGCCGAUAUCGGAUUAUCUAGUUGGUGGGGUAAAGGCCUACCAAGGCGACGAUCCGUAGCUGGGUUGAGAGGACGGCCAGCCACACUGGGACUGAGACACGGCCCAGACUCCGACGGGAGGCAGCAGUGGGGAAUUUUGGACAAUGGGGGCAACCCUGAUUCAGCCAUUUCGCGUGUGCGAUGAAGGCCUUCGGGUUGUAAAGCACUUUUGGCAGGGAAGAAAAGGAUUGGGCUAAUACCCUGAUUCGCUGACGGUACCUGCAGAAUAAGCACCGGCUAACUACGUGCCAGCCGCCGCAGUAA
rnacentral:rRNA from 1 species